rfam:Gossypium raimondii chromosome 1, whole genome shotgun sequence.
GAGAGCCGUGUGAUGGGUGACUAUCCAGCACGGUUCGGAGAGCACUUUUAGUCUUAAUUUGUUGGUGAAUGGAAGCCCCCCCUAUCAAGCAAGAAAGAAACGGCUCUUCCCACAGCGGACUCACCGUUGAGUCUAU